rnacentral:tRNA from 1 species
GGCGGGAUAGCUCAGCUGGUUAGAGCGUCGGAUUCAUAAUCCGGAGGUCGAGGGAUCGUG